rnacentral:rRNA from 1 species
GACGGGUGAGAAUCCCGUCCACCGAUUGACUAAGGUUUCCAGAGGAAGGCUCGUCCGCUCUGGGUUAGUCGGGUCCUAAGCUGAGGCCGACAGGCGUAGGCGAUGGAUAACAGGUUGAUAUUCCUGUACCACCUAUAAUCGUUUUAAUCGAUGGGGGGACGCAGUAGGAUAGGCGAAGCGUGCGAUUGGAUUGCACGUCUAAGCAGUAAGGCUGAGUAUUAGGCAAAUCCGGUACUCGUUAAGGCUGAGCUGUGAUGGGGAGAAGACAUUGUGUCUUCGAGUCGUUGAUUUCACACUGCCGAGAAAAGCCUCUAGAUAGAAAAUAGGUGCCCGUACCGCAAACCGACACAGGUAGUCAAGAUGAGAAUUCUAAGGUGAGCGAGCGAACUCUCGUUAAGGAACUCGGCAAAAUGACCCCGUAACUUCGGGAGAAGGGGUGCUCUUUAGGGUUAACGCCCAGAAGAGCCGCAGUGAAUAGGCCCAAGCGACUGUUUAUCAAAAACACAGGUCUCUGCUAAACCGUAAGGUGAUGUAUAGGGGCUGACGCCUGCCCGGUGCUGGAAGGUUAAGAGGAGUGGUUAGCUUCUGCGAAGCUACGAAUCGAAGCCCCAGUAAACGGCGGCCGUAACUAUAACGGUCCUAAGGUAGCGAAAUUCCUUGUCGGGUAAGUUCCGACCCGCACGAAAGGCGUAACGAUUUGGGCACUGUCUCAACGAGAGACUCGGUGAAAUCAUAGUACCUGUGAAGAUGCAGGUUACCCGCGACAGGACGGAAAGACCCCGUGGAGCUUUACUGUAGCCUGAUAUUGAAAUUCGGCACAGCUUGUACAGGAUAGGUAGGAGCCUUUGAAACG